rnacentral:lncRNA from 1 species
AUGAAAGUGCAUUCCUGCAGAUUAUUAACAUAAUCAUCUCAUUUAUAUUAUAGAUGAAUACCUAAGAUGUCUCCCAACUUGACACUUUAUGAAACAGGUAGUUAAUUAAUGUAGGUAAAGCAGCAUUUAACCCGAAGCCUUCCCAGCAGGCGUCUGGCAAGGUGCAAAAGCAGGAAAAAGAAUAUAGGGAUAAGCAGAGAGAACAAAAGGGUGGCUGGAGCCAAAAUCUUGGAAAUGGAAAUCAGAAAAAGGAAGGCAGAGGUCUUGCUGAGGUUUUUCUGGAGGCCUUGGUGCUAUGGACUCACCAUUUCGUGCAUGGUCAGGAAGCACAAAAUAUCAUCCUUCUUGCUCUCUAUGAAGCUGGCAACAGCUUUAGUCUCUGGUUCAGACACUGGCCCUGUCCCACAGAAUGUUUGAUCUUGGCAGUUUCUAGAGGCACCAAUACCUAGAAUAUGGAAGAAACCACAAAGAAGGCUGCAUGAUCCACUGUGUUGCUCAGGCUGUUCUCAAACUCCCGGCCUCAAGCAAUCCUCCUGCCUCAGCCUCCUAAAGUGCUGGGAUUGUAAGUGUGAGCCGCUGAGCCAGGCACAAAAUAGUUUUAAUGCCUUAGAAAUCCUCUGCAUUCUUCCAAUUUAUCCCUCCCUUUCCCUAACCCCUGGCAACUACUGCCCUGUUUACUUCUCCAUAGUUUUGUCUUUUCAGAAUGUAACAUAGUUGGACUCAUACAGUAUGCAACAUUUUCAGGUUGACUUCUUUCACUGAAUAGUAUGCAUUUAAGUUUCCUCCAUGUCUUGUCAUGGCUUAAUAAGCUAAUUUCUUUAUUAGCACUGUGUAAUAUUCCAUUGUCUGGAUAUACCACAGUUUAUUUACCCUUACUCAUCUACUGAAGAACACCCUGGUUGCUUCCAAGAUAUGGCAGUUAUGAAUAAAGCUGCUAUAAUCAUCCCUGUACAGAUUUUUAUGUUGACAUGUUUUCAAUUCAUUUGGAUAAAUACUAAAGAGUGCAAUGGUUGGAUAAUAUGGUAAGAGUUUGUUUAGUUUUGUAAGAAAUUGCCAAACUGUCUUCCAAAGUGGCUGUACCAUUUUGAAUUCUCAUCAGCAACGAAUGAGAGUUCCUGUUGCUCCACAUCCUUGUCAGCAUUUAGUGUUGUCAGUGUUUUGGAUUUUGGACAUUCUAAUAGGUGUGAAGUAUAUUAUCUUCUUGUUUUAUUAACAAGUAUUAUCAUCUUAUUUUAAUUUGUGAUUCCCUAGUGACAUAUGAUGUGGAAUAUCUUUUUUAUGUUUUCUCGCUGUCUCUAUAUUUUCUUUGAUGAGGUGUCUGUUCAAGUCUUUUGCCAAUUUUUUAUUCAAGUUAUUCCUUUUCUUGUUGUUGAGUUUUAAGAGUUAUUUAUAUAUUUUGGAUAACAGUCCUUUAUCAGAUGUGUGUUUUGAAAAUAUACUCUGUCAGUUUGUGGCUUGUCUUUUUGUUUCUUAACAUUGUCUUUUGCAAAGUAGAAGUUUCCAAUUUUAAUGAAGUCUAGCUUAUCAAUUCUUACUUUCGAGGAUUGUGCCAUGUGUGUUGUAUCUAAAAACUCAUCACCAUACCCAUAGUCAUCUAGGUUUUCUCUUAUGCUAUCUUCUAGAGUUUUAUAGUUUUGCAUUUUCUAUUCAGGUCUAUGAUACAUUUUGAAUUAAUAUUUGUGAAGGUGCGAUGUCUAUGUCUAGAUUUACUUAUUUUGCAUUUGGAUGUCUAGUUGUUCCAGCACUAUUUGCUGAAAAGACUGUUUUGUUCCUUUGUCAAAGAUCUUUUGACUAUAUUUAUGUAGGUUUAUUUAUGGGAUCCCUAUUUUCUCCCUUUGAUUUAUUUGUUAAUUUUGUUACCAAUAACACCUGUCUUGAUUACUGUAGCUUUAUAUUAAGUCUUGAGGUUGGGUACUGUCAGUCCUUUGACUUUGUUCUUCUCUUUCAAUAUUGAGUUGAAUAUUUUCGGUCUUUCACUUUUCCAUAAAAACUUUAGAAUCAGUUUGUCAAUAACCACAAAGUAACUUGCUAUCAAGUUGGGAGGAACUGACAUCUUAACAAUACUCAGUCUUCCUGUCUGUGAACAUGGACUUUCCAUUUAUUUAGUUCUUCUUUGAUCUCUUUCAUUAGAGUUUUUUAGUUUUCCUCAUAUAGAUCUUGUAUAAAUUUUGUUAGAAUUAUACCUAAGUAUUUUAUUUUGAGGGGUGCUAAUGUAAAUGGUAACUUGUUUUUAAUUUCAUAUUUUACUUGUCCAUUGAUGUUACAUAGGAAAUCAAUUGACUUUCUAAUAUUAACUUUGUAUCCUGCAACUUUGCUAUAAUUGCUUAUUCCAGGAGACUUUCUUGUGGUUGAUUCUUUCUGAUUUCUACAUUGAUAAUCAUGUCAUCUUCAAACAAAUACAGUAUUAUUUCUUUCUUCCCAAUCUGUAUACUUUUUAUUUUAUUUUCUUGUCUUAUUACAUUAGCUAGGACUUUCAGUAUAAUGUUGAAAAAGAGUGCUGAGAGGGAACAUCCUUGCCUUCACCUUAGUAGGAAAGCUUCUAGUUUCUCAUCAUUAAGUAUAAUGUAAACUGUAGAUUUUUUGGAGAUGUUGUUUAUCAAGUUGAGGAAGUUCCCUACUACCUUUUUAAUCACAAAUGUGUGUUAGAUUUUGUCAAAUGCUUUUUCUACAUCUAUUUAUAUAAUCAUGUUAUGUUUCUUCUUCAGCCUGUGGGUAGAACAGAUAGUACUAAUUGAUUUUUGAACGUUGAACCAGCUUUGCAUACCUGGGACAAAUUCCACUUGGUUGUGGUGUCUAAUUCUUUUUAUACAUUGUUGAAUUUGAUUUGCUACUAUUUCAUUGAAGAUUUUUCUAUCUGUGUUCAUGAGAGAUAUUGGUCUGUAAUUUUUUUUUCUUUUAAUUCUUUGAUUUUGGCAUUAAGAUAAUACUGAUCUCAUAAAAUGAGUUAGGAAGCAUUCUCUCUGCUUCUAUUUCUGGAAGACAUUGCAGAGAAUUGGUAUAAUUUUUUCCUUAAAUAUUUGGCAGAAUUCACCAGUGAACCUAUCUUUAGUUUCCUAGUUUAAAUGCCCUAUGUAAGCAAGAAAUGGGGUUAUAUUUUUAUUGUCAGGGCAUAUUAAGUGGUAAUUCAUUUACCCAGCAAAUAUGUAUAGAAUGGCUACUAUGUUAAUGGCAUUGGAGUAUGAACUUUUGGAGCUGUUGGGGUACAAACUUUUGUAUAGUGAUACUGAGUUGCAAUGAAGUGUGUUAGAGAUCUAAUUAGCUAACAUUUCUAUGACUUUUACCUAUUCUUCUACAUUUUCUUGAGCAUUCAAAAAAUGCUCAAAAUAGUAUUGUGUCUUCUCUUUCUCUAAGUCUUCAUUUCUUUAUUUGUAAAAUGGGAAUAAUAAUAGUACCUUCCCAAAGGAUUUUUAUGAGGAUUAAAUAAGAUAAUCUGUGUUUAACAAUAAGCACAAUUUCUGACAUAUAGUCAAUUCCUAGUAAGUGUUAAAAUACAAUUCAAAACAAAGCAUAAGCCCUAUUUUGCUGCAUGAUAUUAAAAAUAAAAAUUGUACAAAGAAUAAUUUAGCCAUCCAACUAGUAUUAUCCUCAAACAAUGCCAAACUACAAAAUGUUUUGAUAGAAUUAAUUAAAAUGCAAGUUCCAGUCAUAUCUAUGAUUUAAAAUUCAUAAAAAUUCAUUCUUAACAUACAUUUUCAGGAGCAAAUUUCGUGUCUUUAUAAAGUAAUCAGCAAAUAUGUAUAUUUUAUACUAACAAUAGUUAACCCUUACUGAGCACUACAUGCUAGGCACUGGUCAAAGCACUUUAUAUUAUUAUCUUAUUUAAGUCACUCAACCACCCAGUGGGUAUAUAUUCUUACUACUCUAUGCAAAAGUAGUAAUAGGUAGUAGUAAUUGAAAAGAAGAUUUAUUUCUUGCAGAAUUAAAAAUCUACUUAAGACAAUAAGACAUAAAUUAUGUAUGCUAGAAACUGUUCUAAAAACCUGAUAUCUAUAUCAUGUCUGUCCAUCUAUCUGCUUAUCAUCUAUCUAUCUAUCUAUCUAUCUAUCUAUCUAUCUAUCUAUCUAUCUAUCAUAAAACACCAAAAGCAAUGGCAACAAAAGCCAAAAUUGACAAAUGGGAUUUAAUUAAACUAAAGAACUUCUGCACAGCAAAAGAAACUAUCAUCAGAGUGAACAGGCAACCUACAGAAUGGGAGAAAAAUUUUGCAAUCUAUCCAUCUGACGAAGGGCUAAUAUCAAGAAUCUACAAAGAACUUACACAAAUUUACAAGAAAAAAGCAAACAACCCCAUCAAAAAAUGUGCAAAGGAUAUGAACAGACACUUCUCAAAAGAAGACAUUUAUGCAGUCAACAGACAUAUGAAAAAAUGCUCUUCAUCACUGGUCAUUAGAGAAAUGCAAAUUAAAACCACAAUGAGAUACUAUCUCACGCCAGUUAGAAUGGCAAUCAUUAAAAAGUCAGGAAACAACAGAUGCUGGAGAGGUUGUGGAAAAAUAGGAACGCUUUUACACUGUUGGUGGGAGUGUAAAUUAAUUCAACCACUGUGGAAGACAGUGUGGCGAUUCCUCAAGGAUCUAGAACUAGAAAUACCAUUUGGCCCAGCAAUCUCAUUACUGGGCAUAUACCCAAAGGAUUAUAAAUCAUGCUGCUAUAAAGAUACACGCACACGUAUAUUUAUUGUGGCACUAUUCACAAUAGCAAAAACUUGGAACCAACCCAAGUGUCCAUCACUUCAUCAGUGAUAGACUGGAUUAAGAAAAUGUGGCACAUAUACACCAUGGAAUGCUAUGCAGCCAUAAAAAAGGAUGAGUUCAUGUCCUUUGCAAGGACAUGGAUGAAACUGGAAACCAUCAUUCUCAGCAAACUAUCAUGAGAUCAGAAAACCAAACACUGCAUGUUCUCACUCUUAAGUGGGAGUUGAACAAUGAGAACACAUGGACACAGGGAGGGGAACAUCACAGACUGGGGCCUGUAGGGGGUGGGGAUCUAAGGGAGGGAUAACAUUAGGAGAAAUACCUAAUGUAGGUUACAGGUUGAUGGGUGCAGCAAACCACCAUGUCACGUG